rnacentral:rRNA from 1 species
UACGAAGGGGGCUAGCGUUACUCGGAUUGACUGGGCGUAAAGGGCGCGUAGGCGGAUGGUACAGUCAGACGUGAAAUUCCUGGGCUCAACCUGGGGGCUGCGUUUGAUACGUGCUGUCUGGGAGUUCGGAAGAGGGUCGUGGAAUUCCCAGUGUAGAGGUGAAAUUCGUAGAUAUUGGGAAGAACACCGGUGGCGAAGGCGGCGACCUGGUCCGAUACUGGACGCUGAGGCGGCGAAAGCGUGGGG